CCCAUAUCAUCUCCUCCCGCCCUUGUUCUUUCCUUUCCACCAGGUAUCGUCAUUCACCCAGAUCAAGAUAUCACAGUUCCAUUAUCUUAACUUAUUUUCUUCUAUUUCAAUACUCCAAUUUGGAUUCAGUCAUCACAGAUCAAGAUACCACUCGUAAGUGGUUUGUCUCUUCACUUGACCCGUUUGAUCAAGGUGGAAAUUUCAUCAUAAACGGGAGUGAAAAAGAGAUAGCCGAACAAAUACGCUUAUGUGGCAGAAGUAAAUGUAAAUGGUUGCUACAGGUGAAGAAAAUGAAAGAACUCAGUAAAGGUUACAGCAUAGUUGGACUCUCCCAGGGAAUGGCUGCUUGUUGAUAUUAAAGAGCACCCCAUGCUACUUGCAGAACCAUCUUCCAACACUCAACAACAGAUAGAAAAGUACUGGCAUCUUUUGCUUUAGGGCGUGCUACCUCGUUGGUCGUUGAUACGUAGGGGAAACAUGACUUUAUACAAACAUAUCUUAAAGUUUUAUGAUAUAUAAAUGAGGCUUAACUAUUAUUCUACCUAUUUAUUUGAUUGACUUGUCGCGGUUGCUUUUGUAACAACCUUAAAUUGACUUCAGCCGUGGAGGAUCAACUAUUGUUGCCCCUGUACAUGAUGGGUAUGUUUUACAAGAGGCGCUGGUGUCAGUGUCUCCAAUUGGAGGAGAGUUUCUUAUUGAUUGCUUAAUUAAAAGCUUGGAAAGCAAAGGAGUUAAAGUGAGUUACUUAUACUACUGAAUAAGUUAAGUUACAAGUUUUUUUUGGUUGGUUUAUGAUGAUAUAAUUACUAUUUUUUGUAGC